AUGCAGGGCAAUCUGUCUUUAAGUAGGGGGAAAUUACUCUUGAAGAAAAUGGUCCUAGAUAGUUUUCCCUUCAAGUCAAGCGUCUUGU
rnacentral:pre_miRNA from 1 species